rnacentral:misc_RNA from 1 species
GUAGGUGAACCUGCGGAGGGAUCAUUACACAAAUAUGAAGGCGGGCUGGAACCUCUCGGGGUUACAGCCUUGCUGAAUUAUUCACCCUUGUCUUUUGCGUACUUCUUGUUUCCUUGGUGGGUUCGCCCACCACUAGGACAAACAUAAACCUUUUGUAAUUGCAAUCAGCGUCAGUAACAAAUUAAUAAUUACAACUUUCAACAACGGAUCUCUUGGUUCUGGCAUCGAUGAAGAACGCAGCAUCUGACUG